UACGGAGGGUGCAAGCGUUAUCCGGAUUCACUGGGUUUAAAGGGUGCGUAGGCGGCUAAAUAAGUCAGUGGUGAAAGCCCGCAGCUCAACUGCGGAAUUGCCAUUGAAACUGUCUAGCUUGAAUCUGGUUGAAGUGGGCGGAAUACAUCAUGUAGCGGUGAAAUGCUUAGAUAUGAUGUAGAACACCGAUUGCGAAGGCAGCUCACUAAGCCAACAUUGACGCUGAGGCACGAAAGCGUGGGUAGCAACAGG
rnacentral:rRNA from 1 species